rnacentral:tRNA from 1 species
AUUAAAUUAGCAUAAUUAUUUGAUUGCAUCUGAUUUAGGUUCAGAAGGUAGAAUUAGAUAUUCUAUUUAAUA